rnacentral:rRNA from 1 species
UACGUAGGGUGCGAGCGUUGUCCGGAAUUAUUGGGCGUAAAGAGCUCGUAGGCGGUCUGUCGCGUCUGCUGUGAAAACCUAGGGCUUAACUCUGGGCGUGCAGUGGGUACGGGCAGGCUAGAGUGCGGUAGGGGAGACUGGAAUCCUGGUGUAGCGGUGAAAUGCGCAGAUAUCAGGAGGAACACCGGUGGCGAAGGCGGGUCUCUGGGCCGUAACUGACGCCUGGAGGAAGCGGAAAGCUGGGG